GAUCCUGGCUCAGGAUGAACGCUGGCGGCGUGCCUAACACAUGCAAGUCGAACGAAGCGCCUUACCGGAUUCUUCGGAUGAAGGUCUGGUGACUGAGUGGCGGACGGGUGAGUAACGCGUGGGUAACCUGCCCUGUACAGGGGGGAUAACAGCUGGAAACGGCUGCUAAUACCGCAUAAGCGCACGAGGAGACAUCUCCUUGUGUGAAAAACUCCGGUGGUACAGGAUGGGCCCGCGU
rnacentral:rRNA from 1 species